rnacentral:rRNA from 1 species
AUUUGUUGGGCGUCGAGCGGCGGACGGGUGAGUAAUGCCUGGGAAAUUGCCCUGAUGUGGGGGAUAACCAUUGGAAACGAUGGCUAAUACCGCAUAACGUCUACGGACCAAAGAGGGGGACCUUCGGGCCUCUCGCUUCAGGAUAUGCCCAGGUGGGAUUAGCUAGUUGGUGAGGUAAUGGCUCACCAAGGCGACGAUCCCUAGCUGGUCUGAGAGGAUGAUCAGCCACACUGGAACUGAGACACGGUCCAGACUCCUACGGGAGGCAGCAGUGGGGAAUAUUGCACAAUGGGCGCAAGCCUGAUGCAGCCAUGCCGCGUGUAUGAAGAAGGCCUUCGGGUUGUAAAGUACUUUCAGUCGUGAGGAAGGUGGUGAUGUUAAUAGCAUCAUCAUUUGACGUUAGCGACAGAAGAAGCACCGGCUAACUCCGUGCCAGCAGCCGCGGUAAUACGGAGGGUGCGAGCGUUAAUCGGAAUUACUGGGCGUAAAGCGCAUGCAGGUGGUUUGUUAAGUCAGAUGUGAAAGCCCGGGGCUCAACCUCGGAACCGCAUUUGAAACUGGCAGGCUAGAGUACUGUAGAGGGGGGUAGAAUUUCAGGUGUAGCGGUGAAAUGCGUAGAGAUCUGAAGGAAUACCAGUGG